GACGAACGCUGGCGGCGUGCUUAACACAUGCAAGUCGAACGGAGAAGUGCCUUCCUUUUUGGUGGGAGUGGAGGAGUGGCGAACGGGUGAGCAACACGAUAGCAACCUGCUCCCUCUUGCUGGACAACCGCAUGAAAGUGUGGAUAAUAGGGGAUAUUUUGGGUCUGUUGGAUGAUGGGUCUGGGAAAGAUAUUGUUUCGGUGGGGGAUGGGUUCGCGGCCUAUCAGCUUGUUGGUGGGGUGAUGGCCUACCAAGGCGGUGACGAGUAGCCGGCCUGAGAGGGUGGACGGCCACAGAAGGACUGCGACGCGGCGCAGACUACUGGGGGCGGCAGCAGGGAGGCAUACUGCACGAUCGGCGGCAGGCUGGUGCAGCGACGCCUCGUGGGGGAUGGACGCCUUCGCGUUGUGCACUUCUUUCGCGAGUGAAGAAAGCCUUCCUCGUUUGUGCGCGUGUUGACGGUACCUAAAUAAAAAGCGCCGGCUAACUACGUG
rnacentral:rRNA from 1 species